rnacentral:tRNA from 1 species
CGCCACCGGGGCGCCGGCGACGCUUGCGGGGUCGACGCUUGCGCGGGCGGGGUUCGUCCCCCUGGCUGGCGGCC